AGAGUUUGAUCCUGGCUCAGAAUGAACGCUGGCGGCGUGCUUAACACAUGCAAGUCGAGCGAGAAAGUUUCUUCGGAAAUGAGUAAAGCGGCGAACGGGUGAGUAAUACACAAGAAUCUACCCUUUAGUGUGGAAUAUCUUCAAGAAAUUGAAGUUAAUACCGCAUGAGUCUUAAUGAGAGAAAGACGGCUUUAUGCUGU
rnacentral:rRNA from 1 species